CCUACGUGAGGCAGCAGUGGGGAAUAUUGCGCAAUGGGCGAAAGCCUGACGCAGCGACGCCGCGUGAGGGAUGAAGGUCUUCGGAUCGUAAACCUCUGUCAGCAGGGAAGAACGGUCACUGUGCUAAUCAGCAGUGAAUUGACGGUACCUGCAAAGGAAGCACCGGCUAACUCCGUGCCAGCAGCCGCGGUAAUACGGAGGGUGCGAGCGUUAAUCGGAAUUACUGGGCGUAAAGCGCUCGUAGGCGGUAUGUCAAGUCAAGGGUGAAAUCCCCGCGCUCAACGUGGGAACUGCCUUUGAAACGGGCAAACUGGAGUGUGUGGGAGGAUAGUGGAAUUCCAGGUGUAGGAGUGAAAUCCGUAGAUAUCUGGAGGAACAUCAGUGGCGAAGGCGACUAUCUGGCACAUAACUGACGCUGAGGAGCGAAAGCGUGGGUAGCAAACAGGAUUAGAUACCCCUGUAGUC
rnacentral:rRNA from 1 species